UACAGGUAGACUCCGUCCGGACUCCUACGGGAGCCGGACUUCGUCCCCAACUUCAAUUGCAGGUAGACUCCGUCCGGACUCCUACGGGAGCCGGACUCCGUCCCCGACUUCAGCUGCAGGUAGACCUCGUCCGGACUCCUACGGGAGCCGGACCUCGCCCCCGACUUCAAUUGCAGGUAGACUCCGUCCGGACUCCUACGGGAGCCGGACCUUGCCCCCG
rnacentral:lncRNA from 1 species